rnacentral:lncRNA from 1 species
CUCUGAAUCCCUCACACAUCUGUUUCUUCUUAGUCUCUUAAACAAAUCUGUAAUUGUUCGCUGUGGUUGUCACCGAGCUCGCCGGCGUAGGUCAUCGUUUGCGACCCAUCUUGAGCCCCUUGGUUGUCGUCGUCACCGAGCUCUGCCUCCAACCUCAUAUCUCUAUUACAUAUCUGAAGCACCAUCUCCCCUCGUGCCAUCCAGGUAAUUGAACUUGCGCUGGCUAGGUCACCGAUCUAGCGCCAUCCAUCUCAUCUAGCUCGCCGAGCUCGCCAUCUCCCUCAUGGAUGAGAACCGUGAGAAGAUGCUUUAAAUCUUUUACGACUCUCAAUAUUUCUUCCUUGUGAGUAUUAUCACGCCCUGAUGCUAUAAUUUUAAUGAAUUCAUUCAAUUUUUUCUAAUUUUAUUUUGCGAACCCUAUUCUAAUUGAUUUCAAUUGAGUUCUGUAAUUUCAAAUGUGGUUAAUCUCUUUGUCAAAUGUGGUUUCAACUUAUAUUGUACUUCUACAGCUCUGUUCAUAGGUUUAUUGGAGAUUUCAGCUAAAGGAGCUUGAUAAGUCAGGCCCAAAGAAAUGUGUUAUUUCUCAGUCUGUGAAAUAUGUGAUCCAAAAUUUAGUGGAUGAUGACCUUGUUUUCAAAGACAAGAUAAGGAACCUCUGUAAGUGGAUGUUUCCACAUACAGCUUUGCAUCGUGGAUGAUGAUCAGUCUGUGAAAGAUGUGAUCCAAAAUGCUUGUUUAUAUUGGCAUUUUGUUGUAAUGCAUGUUAUUUUAAAAUUUCAGGUGUAUUUUUGGAGUCUUCCUAGCACUGCUGGAAACCAGGUGAACCUUUGAUGGUUUCCAUUAUAAGCUCAGUUCUACAGGGUAGGAUUUGUGCUGAAAUUCCUACAAGUAGAUUCGUGCUGAUAUUGUUUUGGUCUUUGGCAGCUUAGGAAUGUGUAUAGCAUACUUGAAUCUGAUCUCCAAAGCAGUAAGAAGCGUCAUGCAGAACUUGUUGAACAGUGUAAUGCCCUGAAGAAGGGAUAAACUGUUGAUUUUACGUUAGAGAUGCUUUAGGUACAAUUUCUGUUUAGGUUUUAACAUAGAGAUACAAUUUCCGUUUAGGUUUUAACAUAGAGAUGCAGUUUGAUUUUACGGUAGUAGAGAAGCUGAUUCUGUUCUGUUCUGAAAUCCUGUGGGAGCGUCUUUUAAAUGUCUUAUCUACAUAUUGUUACUAAAAUUGUUAUGUUUUUUCUUUUGGCCAUUGGCCAGAUUAUAACUUUGUUUGGAAUUAUUUUUUUAUGGGACAUAAUAUAAAAUUUUAUAUGAAGGAGAACUUAAAAUCUGAAUGCUUAAUUCAACUUUUGUUUGUUCUUUCUUGAUUUCAGUAAUAUCUCUGCCGGUUAAUGUAAUUGAUAAUACAAUUAUUAUUAAAUCACCUGCAGAGCAGAAGCACUUAAUAAUCACUUGACUGCUGUCCAGCGAGACCAUGAAGUCAGAUCUCAAAUAGAAGAAAGAAAAAUAAGAAUUGAUGCAGCUUAUGAAGAUGCUAAAAGAAAGGAAAAAUCUCUGCAAGACAAGAACGAGCUAAAGCAGAAGCUGCGGUCUUUUUGUUUGGCCUUUUUAUAUCAUUACUGUUUUGUUGGUAAGUUUCUAGAUAUGGUGUGCAUGUAAUGGCCUCAUUAUGUUACUGCUUUCGAUAUUCUUUGUUGAUGUGUCGGAAAGGUUUUUUAGCAUUUCAAGUAAAAGCUAUUCCAGUGAACUUUGGGUAACUUGGUUAAUAACCAGGGUUCCACCCCAAUUAUGUAAGGAGAAUGUUUGUUAUGAAACGUUUGAGAUUAACAAGGACGUUCAAGAUUAA